rnacentral:lncRNA from 1 species
GGGGGGUGGUGGAGGAGGAGGAGGAUGAGAAGGAAAAAUAACGUGCUCACUAAAUUCCACAUUGGGCAACUUUUCUGUUGGGGUCAGUGUGCCGUGGUGGUUCGCACGUGUCAGUAUAAUGCAUGGUUUGGUGUGGAGACCUCGUGUAACUUGUGUUCACGGUUGGCCAACUUGUACGUGAAGAGAUGCUUGCGUUUAUAUAUGAAGUGUGAAAUAUAUGGUUCGGGUGGCUCGGAUCAAACUAGCUUGAACUGUAUGGAUUCGUGGUCCGAGUCAGAGUAGUACAUAUUGGUUCGCUUUAUCUAGGAAGUAUUUAAUAAUUAGUUGGAUAUAAUUAAGUGAGGAUAUGUGUAUUUAAUAAUCAGUAGAGUUAUUACAAAACAUAAUUCAAGGCUAUUUAUUCUCACCUCAAUGAUGUUUCCUCCGAACUGACCGUCCCUAGAGCAAGUGACAAAGGGCUUGAUGGUUGGUACCCGAGGUUCCAAGUUCGAAUUCUAGUUGAAUCACAUUUCCAGUUAAGUUUAUUUCUAAAUGAAAUAAACGAAGCGGGAAGUGUGAUACCCAUCUCUUAAAAAAACAAAAAAAUGAUGUUUCCUCCGACAGCAUUAC